GAUGUGUAUGUCCCUGCUACAACACCAAACUUUUGUGGCGUUUUCCAAAAAUAAAUUUCAUUGAUUAAAGUGGGAAGUCAACCAACACAAAGUCAACCAACGCAAAAGUGGGAAGUCACCCAACACCACUAGAGAAAGGGGAACCCCGGGCUCUCCAUUGGAACGUUAGAGUGGACCACAGCACCGGUACCACGGUCACCUGGAGGCCCAGGAGUCAUCAGGACAAAUAACUCUGAAUAUAUAUGAAUGAUAUCUAAUGUGUUUGUGAUGAAUGGAGCAAUUACGUCAAAAUGAUACACAUCUUGAAAAAUGCUCUUUUUCUCCUGUUAGCAAUGCAUACAUAAAAACUUAACUUGGAUCUCUUUGCAUUCACCCAACCGCUGCGGCAUGUACACAGCGUGUGCUGCAGAGGA